AUUGAACGCUGGCGGCAGGCCUAACACAUGCAAGUCGAGCGGAUGAAGGGAGCUUGCUCCUGGAUUCAGCGGCGGACGGGUGAGUAAUGCCUAGGAAUCUGCCUGGUAGUGGGGGAUAACGUCCGGAAACGGGCGCUAAUACCGCAUACGUCCUGAGGGAGAAAGUGGGGGAUCUUCGGACCUCACGCUAUCAGAUGAGCCUAGGUCGGAUUAGCUAGUUGGUGGGGUAAAGGCCUACCAAGGCGACGAUCCGUAACUGGUCUGAGAGGAUGAUCGGUCACACUGGAAAUGAGACACGGUCCAGACUCCUACGGGAGGCAGCAGUGGGGAAUAUUGGACAAUGGGCGAAAGCCUGAUCCAGCCAUGCCGCGUGUGUGAAGAAGGUCUUCGGAUUGUAAAGCACUUUAAGUUGGGAGGAAGGGCAGUAAGUUAAUACCUUGCUGUUUUGACGUUACCAACAGAAUAAGCACCGGCUAACUUCGUG
rnacentral:rRNA from 1 species